rnacentral:rRNA from 1 species
UACGGGGGGGGCAAGCGUUGUUCGGAAUUACUGGGCGUAAAGAGCUCGUAGGCGGUUUGUCGCGUCUGCUGUGAAAACUCGGGGCUUAACUCCGGGCCUGCAGUGGGUACGGGCAGACUAGAGUGCGGUAGGGGAGACUGGAAUUCCUGGUGUAGCGGUGAAAUGCGCAGAUAUCAGGAGGAACACCGGUGGCGAAGGCGGCUCUCUGGGACGGUACUGACGCUGAGACGCGAAAGCGUGGGGAGCGAACAGG